rnacentral:rRNA from 1 species
AUUGAACGCUGGCGGCAGGCCUAACACAUGCAAGUCGAGCGGAUGAAAGGAGCUUGCUCCUGGAUUCAGCGGCGGACGGGUGAGUAAUGCCUAGGAAUCUGCCUGGUAGUGGGGGGACAACGUUUCGAAAGGAACGCUAAUACCGCAUACGUCCUACGGGAGAAAGCAGGGGACCUUCGGGCCUUGCGCUAUCAGAUGAGCCUAGGUCGGAUUAGCUAGUUGGUGAGGUAAUGGCUCACCAAGGCGACGAUCCGUAACUGGUCUGAGAGGAUGAUCAGUCACACUGGAACUGAGACACGGUCCAGACUCCUACGGGAGGCAGCAGUGGGGAAUAUUGGACAAUGGGCGAAAGCCUGAUCCAGCCAUGCGCGUGUGUGAAGAAGGUCUUCGGAUUGUAAAGCAC